GCGGAAGGAUCAUUAACGCGCAGGCCGGAGGCUGGCCCCCCACGAUAGGGACCGACGUUCCAUCAGGGGUGAGCAGACGUGCGCCGGCCGUACGCCCCCAUUCUUGUCUACCUCACCCGGUUGCCUCGGCGGGCCGCGCUCCCCCUGCCAGGGAGAGCCGUCCGGCGGGCCCCUUCUGGGAGCCUCGAGCCGGACCGCGCCCGCCGGAGGACAGACACCAAGAAAAAAUUCUCUGAAGAGCUGUCAGUCUGAGCGUUUAGCAAGCACAAUCAGUUAGAACUUUCAACAACGGAUCUCUUGGUUCCGGCA
rnacentral:misc_RNA from 1 species